AGUACGAUCGCAAGAUUAAAACUCAAAGGAAUUGACGGGGCCCCGCACAAGCAGCGGAGCAUGCGGCUUAAUUCGACGCAACGCGAAGAACCUUACCAAGGCUUGACAUAUACAGGAAUACGGCAGAGAUGUCGUAGCCGCAAGGUCUGUAUACAGGUGGUGCAUGGUUGUCGUCAGCUCGUGUCGUGAGAUGUUGGGUUAAGUCCCGCAACGAGCGCAACCCUCGUUCUGUGUUGCCGGCAUUUAGUUGGGGACUCACAGGAGACUGCCGGGGUUAACUCGGAGGAAGGUGGGGAUGACGUCAAAUCAUCAUGCCCCUUAUGUCUUGGGCUGCACGCAUGCUACAAUGGCUGGUACAAACGGCUGCGAUACCGCAAGGUGGAGCGAAUCCGAGAAAGCCAGUCUCAGUUCGGAUUGGGGUCUGCAACUCGACCCCAUGAAGUCGGAGUUGCUAGUAAUCGUAGAUCAGCAACGCUACGGUGAAUACGUUCCCGGGGCUUGUACACACCGCCCGUCACAUCACGAAAGUCGGUAACACCCAAAGUCAGUGGCCCAACCGCAAGGAGGGAGCUGCCAAAGGUGGGAUCGGUGAUUGGGAUG
rnacentral:rRNA from 1 species